rnacentral:lncRNA from 1 species
GUCACAAAAGACUUCCUAGUCACCUCCCCUCUUUUUAUAUUACUCCCUCCCAUGUUUUUCUUUAGAUUUUAAAACUAGAUAAAAUCAGGCCUUCCGUUAGAUUACCUGAAUUCUUUCAGGUGACGAGAAUCUCUGAGGCUUAAUUCAUUUAAAUAAACUUCAUUUUCCUACUGCCUUUGGCCAGGUGCCUUCGGAGGCCUGUUUGACAGAAUAGUUUCCGCUCCUGGGGGAGAGUGACCUGUUGUCAUCAAAGUGACCUACCACGAGAUAGAAGAAAUGUCUGAGAGGCUAGUUCUGCCUUUGGACACUUGGUGGCGCUCUAGCUUUAUGAAUGGCUCAAGCCGCUUCUGUUUGCUCCUGGGAAGUCUCCUUCCCUUUCCGCAGCUCGGUGGUGUGGUUUCAGAAUCAGAGGCAUUGUGUUCUGCGGAAGGUCAUAUGGAAAGUUCGAUGGCUGAUUGGAUUAGAAUAUGUACAGCUCAUCAAGAUGAAAGAAAAAGAAUAUGGAAGAAAGACUUCAAAAGUCACAGUGAAGAAAAUUUGUUUUUACAAAGAUGUCAACAUACAACUUCCUCAUUAUCUGGUCAAGUAACUUCUAGAAAACUCCACUUCAUACAAGUGAGUGAUAAGAGCAAAUAAGACAAGUAAUGUCUUAAUAUUAUUCUGAAAAUAGUUUUGAUUUUGCAACUCCCUACAAGGUUUAUACUAGACCUUUGAGUACCACUGCUCUCAUCCAGCCCAUAUCUUUCAAAAAUCCCUUCUUUAAUAGCCUCAACAAGAGGUUACUCAACUUCUACUAGAAGACUUCCAAGGGAAGCAAACCCAC